rnacentral:rRNA from 1 species
UGCAAGUCGAACGAAGCUUGACGGAUGAUUUCUUCGGAAUGAAACCAGAUAUGACUUAGUGGCGGACGGGUGAGUAACACGUGAGCAACCUGCCUUUCAGAGGGGGAUAACGGCUGGAAACGGUCGCUAAUACCGCAUGAUGUGUUCGGAUGGCAUCAUCUGAACAUCAAAGAUUUAUCGCUGAAAGAUGGGCUCGCGUCUGAUUAGAUAGUUGGUGGGGUAACGGCCUACCAAGUCUACGAUCAGUAGCCGGACUGAGAGGUUGAACGGCCACAUUGGGACUGAGAUACGGCCCAGACUCCUACGGGAGGCAGCAGUGGGGAAUAUUGCACAAUGGGGGAAACCCUGAUGCAGCAACGCCGCGUGAAGGAUGACGGUUUUCGGAUUGUAAACUUCUUUUCUUGGUGACGAAGACAGUGACGGUAGCUAAGGAAUAAGCAUCGGCUAACUACGUGCCAGCAGCCGCGGUAAUACGUAGGAUGCAAGCGUUAUCCGGAUUUACUGGGUGUAAAGGGAGCGCAGGCGGGACUGCAAGUUGGAUGUGAAAUACCGUGGCUUAACCACGGAACUGCAUCCAAAACUGUAGUUCUUGAGUGAAGUAGAGGCAAGCGGAAUUCCGAGUGUAGCGGUGAAAUGCGUAGAUAUUCGGAGGAACACCAGUGGCGAAGGCGGCUUGCUGGGCUUUAACUGACGCUGAGGCUCGAAAGUGUGGGGAGCAAACAGGAUUAGAUACCCUGGUAGUCCACACUGUAAACGAUGAUAGCUAGGUGUGGGGGGUCUGACCCCUUCCGUGCCGGAGUUAACGCAAUAAGCUAUCCACCUGGGGAGUACGACCGCAAGGUUGAAACUCAAAGGAAUUGACGGGGGCCCGCACAAGCAGUGGAUUAUGUGGUUUAAUUCGAAGCA